UCCCUGCAUAACAGAACCCCCCAGCUCUGAGGAUUCCCUGGAUGACUCUAAAUGUGAAACAGCUGGGCCCUUCCAUGGUGGGAAAGACCUUUCCUAGUCCCAAAGCAAAAUGCUGAUUUGGGAAAAGACUAAAAGAGCAUGGGCUGAAUGAAUACACAGAGGGAAUAAGUAUUGAUGCAAGAGACAAAUCAGCUAUGAAUCUAUCUCAUUGUCUGGAAAGAAAUGAGUAGUAACAAUGGGAAGAUAAAAAAGAAACUGUUAUGCUAGCAGAUCAACCUGGUGUAGGAGAAACCUGUACUCUGAAGACAAAAAGCCGCAAUUUGGAAACCUGGUUCCACUACCAACCUUAGGGUAAUCAUUCCUCCUCUUUAAAUAUCUUCAUAUAGAAUGGAGUUAAUAAUUGCCUUAUAGUUUACUUUUUAACAAGUGGGAUAAUAUAUAGAAAAUGCUUAUCAGUACCUGGUACAUAUCAAAUGCUCAACAGAUAAUAACAAUAAUUAAUAGUAGGACGGUUAAGGACCAUCUCCAGAGUCAUCAUUUCCUGGAAACAUUCCUCCAUUAACUUAAUUAUCUGAUGUCUUCGUUCAACAAACAAGUAUUGACUGAA